UAAUUCGUGGCUCUAUGGUUGAGCAUCGGUGUGGUAUGCCGAAAGUUUAGGUUCGAUUCCCGACAGAGUCA
rnacentral:tRNA from 1 species